GGGACCGUGGUGUAGGGAUAAGCAUAGUUGCCUCUCACGCAGUUGGCUUGGGUUCGAUCCCUGACGGUCCCG
rfam:Culex pipiens quinquefasciatus supercont3.89 genomic scaffold, whole genome shotgun sequence.